rnacentral:tRNA from 1 species
GGUCUCGUGGCUCAGAUGGUUGGAGAGUUGAUUAAACCAAAGCCUUUCCCUUGCUAACGUGGGUUCGAAUCCCAUCGAGACCG